rnacentral:misc_RNA from 1 species
GGAUCACUUAAUGAAUGCAGAGCACAAUUAUCUUGUACCUCGAAAGAAUCUUCACUGAGUUUCAGCGCCUCAGGUUUAAACCUAGCAGACUGCCUCCUUACGCAUGAUCUUUUAUUUGCCGUCUUAUCCUCACAUUGAACUUGCUCAGAAGAACCCAUGCUCUUUGACUGGGCUCUCUUUUUGAGAUUUCUGGCUUUCUCGGUGUCUCCUUUUCUUAAUGAUAGAUCUCCUGCCUCCUCACACUUCAUGGGUUUCACCUUAUGAAUAUUGAC